CUAUGCGCCUUGCCAGCCCGCUCAGGUGUGCCAGCAGCCGCGGUAAUACGUAGGGGGCAAGCGGUUAUCCGGAUUUACUGGGUGUAAAGGGGGCGCAGACGGCAGCGCAAGCCAGGAGUGAAAGCCCGGGGCCAACCCCGGGACUGCUCUUGGAACUGCGCGGCUGGAGUGCAGGAGGGGCAGGCGGAAUUCCUGGUGUAGCGGUGAAAUGCGUAGAUAUCAGGAGGAACACCGGUGGCGAAGGCGGCCUGCUGGACUGCGACUGACGUUGAGCCCGAAAGCGUGGGGAGCAAACAGG
rnacentral:rRNA from 1 species